GGCAGUUCUUGGGUGACGCACCCUGGAAUCAGAUUCCCUCUUCUCUUAUUCCGGGUGGGUCCCCAAGAACC
rfam:Myotis davidii contig58463, whole genome shotgun sequence.